AUAUCUUACUGUUAAUUGUGUGAGAUGGUUAUCUCCAUGUGUUUCUGCUAACAUCAUAGAAGCCUGAUCAUGACCAGGACCCCAUUGAUGCCCUCUCACAAGAUUUGGACAGCUGCCCCUCAACUACAGAGAACUCACAGCAUACAGGAAAGGAGAAGAGCAAGAAGAUGGGUUCAAAUUCCAAAGCACCCAAGAAUGGAGU